AUUGAACGCUGGCGGCAGGCCUAACACAUGCAAGUCGAGCGGAUGAGGGUAGCUUGCUACCUGAUUCAGCGGCGGACGGGUGAGUAAUGCCUAGGAAUCUGCCUGGUAGUGGGGGACAACGUUUCGAAAGGAACGCUAAUACCGCAUACGUCCUACGGGAGAAAGUGGGGGAUCUUCGGACCUCACGCUAUCAGAUGAGCCUAGGUCGGAUUAGCUAGUUGGUGGGGUAAAGGCUCACCAAGGCGACGAUCCGUAACUGGUCUGAGAGGAUGAUCAGUCACACUGGAACUGAGACACGGUCCAGACUCCUACGGGAGGCAGCAGUGGGGAAUAUUGGACAAUGGGCGCAAGCCUGAUCCAGCCAUGCCGCGUGUGUGAAGAAGGUCUUCGGAUUGUAAAGCACUUUAAGUUGGGAGGAAGGGCAGUAAGUUAAUACCUUGCUGUUUUGACGUUACCGACAGAAUAAGCACCGGCUAACUCUGUGCCAACAGCCG
rnacentral:rRNA from 1 species